CCGAUGUUAAUCAGGUUCUUGACGUCCGAUCCUCCCAUCGUCUGCUCCAGCUCCACUCCCCACUCGCCUCCACCCCUCUUUUCUCUCUCUCUCCGGUCGCCGUCUCGCCCGUCUCGCCGAAGCCAAGCCGCUCGGUCGUCUCCCUCAUCAGCAUCAGUUCGAAGAUGGAGGAAUACUUGCAGUACAUGAAGACUCUGCGAUCUCAAAUGAACGGGACAUCUCUACCUGUCAUCUCUUGAAGUAAAACAUGUACACCUAUGUGUAAAAAUGUUGCUGAAUUGCAAUUGUGAAUUGAAAGAUGUGGAGGAUCAGGCGGCCAAGAUCUCGGUCGAAGAGCAAAUGUGGAUUACUUGCAUUCAAUCUCUGGAAAGCGACCUCACUUCUGCAAAAUCCGAAGAUCAGAAACUUAAAGAAGAAAUAGAGCAGAUGAUGACUGCGAAAGGUGAAAUAUGCUCUCAGAUAUUUGACAAGCAGAGAAAGGUUGCUUCCUUGGAAUCUGAUUGUCGCACACUGACACAGGUAGAACUCCUCCUUAUUUAUAUAUGUGUUAUUGAUAGUGAUGGGUCAGAUGAACUUUACAAAGGAGAGGAAAGGAAGAGCACAAUCACCUGUUGGGUCGUGAAGAAGGAAGUGAUCUGCAGCCUUAUAUCUGAUAUACUAAACUGUGGUAUCUGUCCUUCACGGUGAUCCCAUGAUAAGAUGCUAUUCUACUGGCCUUACUCAUUAACUCUAGAGAUAAAUUCUAUGCCGAAAUGUAAUGGAUAGAGCUUGGAAGAAUCUUUUGCUCCAUCCUAUCACGUUGGAAACUCAACUAAGCAUCCAAUUCGACAAAAAUAGUAUGCUGCGUCUUCCAUUCCUCAUAUAAUAUUUUUCUUUUCAAAUUACAGGCUGAUUCUUAUGUCUCUCUUUUGGUUGAUUGGUCUUGCGCUUAUAUUAAUGUGAAUAAUCUGUUGAUGCUGCUACUGUCACAAUAUCUUAAAGAAAAUCUGUGACUUGGAGUUCAGGUUCAUGCCUUAUUUUGCUCAGAGAUAGAAAGAUACCAGAUGAAGAGAUGCAUUGAACUCUAUUGUUUGCAGUGAUUGUUGUUGUGUAAUGGCUUUUCUGAUAAUCAGGUUCGUGCAUAAAAGCACUGUAAUAUGUUGUGGGAAUGGAGACUAUCAUGCAUCUCAAAAUAAUUCUGAAGAGUCAGACACUGUAUCAGGAAGUAAUUUAUCACCAAAGGCUGCAGAGAAUAGUUUCAAGCUUGUGGUGUUGCUGCUUUGGAGGGUUUGUACAUAACUUGGAACUUAGAGGAGAACUCUAAGGUCAACAUGAAUUUUAGAUUUGGAUCCCUAGCAAAAAGGGUGGAUAUAAAGGAAGUUGAAAAGGUUUCAAAUAAAUCUUUUAAUUUGCCAGCCAUGGGUUAUUAUCUGAUACGAGCUGAAAAGGGUAAAGGCAGUGAGUGAAAUUCAUAUAUAUAUUUUCCUGGAGCCUUUUCAAAGUUUCAGUGGAAACAAAUUUCAUUUGCUUAAGUGCUAUUUCUUUAAUGCUUUGUUGUUGAAGCAACUGAAUGUUCCAAGAUAGGUAGAUGUUCAAUCAUUUCUGUGUCGAUUUUCAAGUUUAUCUAAGUAUAUCUGGCAGAGCAUAUGUAAAUUUAGAAUUUGACACUUUUAAUGUCAACCGUGUCAGAUUUCUGUAAUAUGCAACCUUGUGUUUAUUACUUAUAUUUAAAGAAAUUGAGUUGGAUCUGAAAUGGUGGAGGAUGAUAUAUAUGCUGGACUGUGAGGCUUUCUAAACUUCUAAAUGACUAAACCACAUGAUCAAUUAUGCUUAAUAAAGAAACUUGGGUAAUUUUAUCUUACCGUGAAUAUUUGUUGGAGUUCUAUGUAGACUCUGGAGCUAGUUCACCAAAAAAGGGUAAGCUAAUCGGCCAAACUAGUUGAGAAAAGCACUUACUAUGCCAAGGUUGCUGAGGAUAUAGAUGUCAAAUUCCAGCAGCCACAAGUAACAUUUCUCUUAUGACCCCAAAAAAAAAAGGAAAGAAAAAAAAGUAAGAUUUCUCGAGUUUUGACCUCUUAUCAGAAUGUCCACCAAGCUGACGGUCUUUUUAUCUUGUUCUUUUAGGGAUGGCUUAUUUGUCGCAUACCAAGCCCAGAUACAGAAGUGCAUGACUUGGUACUCCUUCUUGUUUAUUCUACGUUUGGACUUGCUGUUACCAUUAGAUUUUAAAUUUGUCAUGUCGAGGAGGAUCAUCCUUUUCUGCGAUUCAAUUUAUAUAUUUACUUUUAUGUACACGCGCUCACAAACACAUACAAACAUCUUGGUUUGCAUUCGUUCAGUCACAUUUUUACCUCUUGUAGUUCCUCAAUGUCAGUCUUUGGAAGGCUGAACUUCUGUUAUUUUGUGAACUGAAGGCUGAAUUUAAUGGGGGGAACAUCAAUUAUAUCAUGGUUCCCCUCUAAGAAAAUGUUUGUUAACCACAUUGAAUUCUCUAAUGCCUUUCUGUCUUGGCUAUUACCUUGCGGCCAAAUGUUUUUUUUUUUUUUUUUUUUUUUUUUGUUGGUCAGAAGCCAAAUGGUUAGUAAUAUGUUUUUUAGAUCAUAGCAGUGCUUUGCUAACCGGAAUAUUGGCAGGUCAAGGAAACAUUUGAUGAAGAAAAGGUUGCAGCUGGACGUAUGGAUAUUUAACUUUUUCAAGUUUUAACUAUAAGCCAAUGGAGGCAUAUAUUGCUGACAUGCGAUCUUCUUUAGAGUUUUUAUUUUUAUGUCCUCAUGAUCUAUUGUGCUUUUUAACAGCACGUACACCUAUUUCUAUGCAGCUGGACGUAUGGAUAUUUAACUUUUUCAAGUUUUAACUAUAAGCCAAUGGAGGCAUAUAUUGCUGACAUGCGAUCUUCUUUAGAGUUUUUAUUUUUAUGUCCUCAUGAUCUAUUGUGCUUUUUAACAGCACGUACACCUAUUUCUAUGCAGCUGGACGUAUGGAUAUUUGACUUUUUCAAGUUUUAACUAUAAGCCAAUGGAGGCAUAUAUUGCUGACAUGCGAUCUUCUUUAGAGUUUUUAUAUUUAUGUCCUCAUGAUCUAUUGUGCUUUUUAACAGCACGUACACCUAUUUCUAGCAUAGAUCAUCAUUUGGCCAUACACUUGAAACAAGAACAGUUUUGUUUUUCUUUCCAUUGGUAUGAGUUUAGUUUGACAAAUAUUUCAUUGAGAUAAGUUCGUCAAUUCCCUUUAAUAACUGCUGAUUCUCUGUCAACCUUUCCUUAUUUUUGCUGGAGCAUUGUCAAUGUACUUAGUAAAGCAGAGGUCGUCUGUAACUCACCUGUGUCGGUCAUGAAAGCCAUAUUACUAGUCUAGUCCUUAGUGUUGUUGGGCCAUUCGUUGCUUCAUCUGGUCAUUGUAAUCUGAUGUUCAACUUAAAGCAGAAUCUACACUAGGAAAACUUAUCACCUACACCUACAUGUAAGCGCCAGUAAGCAGAUAUGAUUAGGAGCCUCGCUCCUCGUACUCUGCACCAUGAGGUUAUGUGUUACAAAAACUUCCAUUGCGGUUUACUUUUGAUAACUAAUGCUGAUACCUUUGCAGCAAGAGGUAAACUUUCCAGUCACCUGCUUACUGAAAACAUGGUACUUACAGAUGAAAAACUAAAAACAAAAGAAUUAUGUUCAUUGAACAGAGUAGUUACUUAAAUUUAGUGCUUGAACCGACAGAACAAGGGAGCAAGCGAGGAACUGAUCUUCAGUGUGCACUCUGCGACAGUAAAACUUGACAAGAUAAAAAAAACAAAAGCUAAGCUGGCGGCAGAAAAUUCUGCAGUUAAGUAGUCCACAUCUAAAUUUCACAAUGCGUUGAUUUCACUUGUCUGGUUAAAAUGAUUUUCACUAAUUGUCAAAGCCUAUAUUGGAUAUGUGAUAAUAUGCACUACAAUGCUCUCAUGGUCCUGAAUGAAGCAUGUUCCAUUUCAAUUUUAUAAUCUAGCAGAAACUGCCAUGGAGCAGCUCGGCUCAAAUGACAUGCCUAAGCGCUUAAACUAAUACCUCUAGGGGGGUUUUUAGCUUUAAUUUGGUAUUUAUGCUACCAUCUUUAUCUGUUAAUUUCACCUUUUCGCAUGAGUGUGAUGUCCAAUUUGUGAUCACUUUGACGAGGGAAGCCAUUAUUGUAAUGAUGAAAUAUGGAAGCAAAGUUGUCGAGGGGCAGCUAAACAUUUGGAGCUAAUAUCCUCAAUUUGCAGCUCAUCAUCAUUUCUUCAUGAACGCUAAUGGUGCUAUUGCAACUCCUAUUAUUGCAGAUGAAGCAGCAAAUUGAGCAAAUGAAAAGCCAGUCAAGGAAGAGCUAAGGGCAAUGGAUGUUAAGACUUUGGAAAGGGAACAAAAAGCUCUUUUAGCAGAUAUUGUUGGGGAAACUGAGUUCCAGCAGUCUCUGCAGAAUCAAAUCAAGAAACUGAAGGUAAAAUCGUUUCAAAACUGUGAUUUUCAUUUUUUUUUCCUAAAUAAACUUGAAAUGGGUGUUAAUAAUAUCAUAUUUGAACAAUGUGCUGCUAACUGGGGAGUGCACCCAUAAAAUCGGAUUGGUUUCACUCUACUUCCAACCUCUGUUAUCUUCCAGAACUAGGAGAUUGUUUGUCUAUAGCGUCUAGUCUUUUCUCUGGAUUUUACUGUUCUUCCAUGUAAGUCGUCUCAACUUAAAUGAAUA